AGUGAACGCUGGCGGCAGGCCUAAUACAUGCAAGUCGAACGGCAGCACAGCAGAGCUUGCUCUGUGGGUGGCGAGUGGCGGACGGGUGAGGAAUACGUGGGAAUCUGCCCAGUCGUGGGGGAUAACGUAGGGAAACUUACGCUAAUACCGCAUGCGCCCUUCGGGGAAAGGCCGGGGACCUUCGGGCCGUGGCGCGAUUGGAUGAGCCCACGUCGGAUUAGCUAGUUGGCGGGGUAAAGGGCCCACCAAGGCGACGAUCCGUAGCUGGUCUGAGAGGAUGAUCAGCCACACUGGAACUGAGACACGGUCCAGACUCCUACGGGAGGCAGCAGUAGGGAAUAUUGGACAAUGGGCGGCAAGCCUGA
rnacentral:rRNA from 1 species